UGAGAGAGCUCGAGGAAGAGACGACAGUUAAACGGACGGGGGAGAGUGCUGGGGACUGAGCGGCAGGAGAUGGAGCUGCGUACUGCCGGAUGACUGUAAAAAGUGCGACAGACCUGGCUCUGGACGGCGACUCUGGGGGAGAGAGAUACUGACCAAGUUCCCCAGCGGCUCCUGUGAAGUGGAUAGCGGGACCGAAGUGUGGACGGCUGUGGCGAGCGGCGACGGGCUCCGACAUCAGCAAAUCCCUCUGGGCGGAGCGGAAGAGGAGUCUCCUGAUAGUGACCCUGUGUGGCUGUGGGCGGUGAUAUCAGUGAGUCCACAGCAGAGCUAUUCCUCGCUGGGCGGAUCAAGAGGCGGCGCUGCCCCACAAACCAGGCCCCAAAUCGGCAUCACACUGCUGUCUACAAAGAAUCUACUAACUUUUUCAUUGCUAGCUAGACAGAUAAUAAUUGCAUGCACUCCAUUUUCCGCUAUCAGAAGGGUCAUAGGAAUAGCACAGGAUGACUAAUUCGACACGUCAUUGACCCUGGAAGACAUUAUUACUCUUCACAAGUUAUUAUAUGGAGACAGGAAUUUGGGAUUAAAUCCAAGCGCUAUUGUUGACGACUCACAGGGGUUAAUUUCUGAGAUAGAAACAGAGAUUCAACCGACUAGAGACACAUUGUUUCUACAUACGCAGGAUAUUGUGCUGCUACGGCCUGGAUAGCUUACUAACGCUUAGUGAUUAGUAGUUUGGUACCCUAUUUACAGUACUACUAUGGGAUUUUAAAACCACAGUGGUGGCCACCCCGAACGAUUGAACUUUAAAGUGAUCACUUAAGGUAACUUAUUAGGUAAACUGCGCAGAAGGUACAAGGUAAAACCCGGGUACACAGUCCAUCAGACUGUGGUUAUUUUAUAGUUUUUUGUAUUGCAUGCAUUGACUUUGUGGCAUAAUAUUGAAAUAAGGAUUGUUUUAGCGGAUGUAAAGCCUAAUUUGAUCCGAUCUACAGGAUGAUUAAUUAAAUGUUGAGAGUGACAAUAAAGUUACUUACCUAA